CAGCAGCCGCGGUAAUACGAAGGGUGCAAGCGUUACUCGGAAUUACUGGGCGUAAAGCGUGCGUAGGUGGUGGUUUAAGUCCGUUGUGAAAGCCCUGGGCUCAACCUGGGAAUUGCAGUGGAUACUGGGUCACUAGAGUGUGGUAGAGGAUAGUGGAAUUUCCGGUGUAGCAGUGAAAUGCGUAGAGAUCGGAAGGAACAUCUGUGGCGAAGGCGACUAUCUGGGCCAACACUGACGCUGAGGCACGAAAGCGUGGGGAGCAAACAGGAUUAGAUACCCCCGUAGUCCCUGUCUCUUAUAC
rnacentral:rRNA from 1 species